rnacentral:rRNA from 1 species
AAAAAAUGUCUUUUUGCUUUGUAUCCGUAAAAAAGACAAAUUUCAGUGUUUCUAAAUAGUGUUUUACGACACAAUUUUUUGUCUUGUUUGCACAGGCCACAAAAAGAGUUAUUUUACUGUGAAACUUUAUGGACACACAUAGAAUAUGAAGACGUACCGGUGCAACCUUUUUCAGACUUUUUAACAUUCAGAAAUGUGUUUUUUAAAGUGGGUUCAUAUGUACCCGGUUCAUCCAUGCACUUUCCAUCUCGGAGGGCUCCAAACAGUUUAGAUCUUUUAGUAUCAAUGUGUGAAACUAGACAGUACUCUCGGAGUACUAACUGGUCUGUCAAUCAUCAUAUUGGCUAGCUUUUUCUCAGUGGUGCUCUCACUUGUUUUCCCGCAGAUGCUGUCUGAACCUGAUCUGUGAUUGCACGCGUGCUCUGUCUCAGAAAGGAGGAUGUGAAGACUCUGCAAGUAGAGCUGCAUAGAACAAGAGAGCAAUGCCAUGCAGGGUGGUCAAAAUGUCAAGCCAAGUUUGGCAUUAGCACUGCACAGCAUAUGUUGUGCUAUCUACAGAAGAAUUGGUGCAGAAAAAAGAUUAGGCCUUAGUGCCAUGAUGGGGCCGUGUGCUAAAUUAUUGCAGAGAAGCUUGAUUAAUGAUGAGGUUGAUGCUAUGCCUACCUAGAUCACAUAUAUUUAUAAAUUGUUAUUUGCCUUGUUCAUGAUAGCAGAGCUGCUGGCUUGUAGGGUGAUAGCAAAUCAAAUCUGGAUAGAUCUUUGGUGGUGCUGAAUUAGUACAUAUGACAAAAUUUGUCUAGUCUGGAUGUCUGAAUCUGCCUACAAAAUUAUGGCAAAAUCUGUCUAAUCUGCGUGUCUGAAUCUCGCCAGGUCGGCCAUGUACUUGGUUACUUUACCUUAUGCCUAAUGAAAUAGUAGAUCAGUAUUCUAAUAAUAUGUCAACAGUUUUUUUCUUGGUUUGGACUUUGGAGUAACACUUGAACUAGUAGUCACUGGUUUCCUCUGCUUGAUAUUCCAUCUUUUUUGAGACUGCAAAUAGCAUGCCAAACUGGAGCAGCACUGCCUCCCUGCAAACAGAGAGAAAAAUUGCAGCUACGCAAGCUUAGUUGCACCCCUGAAUCUCCUGGCAAACACUGAACUUGUUUUUUCAGACGAACAGAACUCCAAUAAUUAGUCGAUUCAUUUCUUACUGCUCUGCAGUGCCAUGUAAUAGCACAAACAUUUCCUGAGCACAAGAAAACAUC